rnacentral:rRNA from 1 species
GACGAACGCUGGCGGCGUGCCUAAUACAUGCAAGUUGAGCGCUGAAGGUUGGUACUUGUACCAACUGGAUGAGCAGCGAACGGGUGAGUAACGCGUGGGGAAUCUGCCUUUGAGCGGGGGGCAACAUUUGGAAACGAAUGCUAAUACCGCAUAAAAACUUUAAACACAAGUUUUAAGUUUGAAAGAUGCAAUUGCAUCACUCAAAGAUGAUCCCGCGUUGUAUUAGCUAGUUGGUGAGGUAAAGGCUCACCAAGGCGAUGAUACAUAGCCGACCUGAGAGGGUGAUCGGCCACAUUGGGACUGAGACACGGCCCAAACUCCUACGGGAGGCAGCAGUAGGGAAUCGUCGGCAAUGGACGAAAGUCUGACCGAGCAACGCCGCGGGAGGGAAGAAGGUUGUCGGAUCGUAAAACUCUGUUGGUAGAGAAGAACGUUGGUGAGAGUGGAAAGCUCAUCAAGUGACGGUAACUACCCAGAAAGGGACGGCUAACUACGUG